UACGUAGGGUGCAAGCGUUGCCCGGAUUUAUUGGGCGUAAAGCGUGCGCAGGCGGCUAUGCAAGACAGAUGUGAAAUCCCCGGGCUCAACCUGGGAACUGCAUUUGUGACUGCAUGGCUAGAGUACGGUAGAGGGGGAUGGAAUUCCGCGUGUAGCAGUGAAAUGCGUAGAUAUGCGGAGGAACACCGAUGGCGAAGGCAAUCCCCUGGACCUGUACUGACGCUCAUGCACGAAAGCGUGGGGAGCAAACAGG
rnacentral:rRNA from 1 species